rnacentral:rRNA from 1 species
AGGAAAAGAAACCAACAGGGAUUGCCUCAGUAACGGCGAGUGAAGCGGCAACAGCUCAAAUUUGAAAUCUGGCUCUUUUAGGGUCCGAGUUGUAACUUGUAGAGGAUGCUUCGGCGUCGGCUCCGGUCUAAGUUCCUUGGAACAGGACGUCAUAGAGGGUGAGAAUCCCGUAUGUGAUCGGUUGCCCUUGCCAUGUGAAGCUCCUUCGACGAGUCGAGUUGUUUGGGAAUGCAGCUCUAAAUGGGAGGUAAAUUUCUUCUAAAGCUAAAUACUGGCCAGAGACCGAUAGCGCACAAGUAGAGUGAUCGAAAGAUGAAAAGCACUUUGGAAAGAGAGUCAAAAAGUACGUGAAAUUGUUGAAAGGGAAGCGCUUGCAACCAGACCUGCCUGCAGUUGCUCAUCCGGGCUUUCGCCCGGUGCACUCUUCUGCUGUCAGGCCAGCAUCAGUCCGGGCGGUCGGAUAAAGGCUUCGGGAAUGUAGCUCCUCUCGAGGAGUGUUAUAGCCCGUUGCGAAAUGCGGCCAGCCUGAACUGAGGUCCGCGCUUCGGCUAGGAUGCUGGCGUAAUGGUUGUAAGCGGCCCGUUG